rnacentral:lncRNA from 1 species
UGUUAGGAUGCUCGCAGGCUAUAAAUAGCCGCCCCCACAACCAUUAGCUGGUUGGCUGCUCCGUUAGAAACUGACACUUGUCAUAAGAGCAACCCAAUUCCUCAGAGUCUUCGAGAGUAAUUCAUCAGUGAGAAAAUACCCCAAACACCAAAUCAUAAACCUAGAACCAAGUGAUUGAGCAUCACUGAAGAAGUUGUUCCUGUGUGGGACUGAAGCCUUUUACCUUUAAGGAC